rnacentral:lncRNA from 1 species
UUUCAGAUGAUAAUACUAUCUUAAUAUUAAAAAAAUAUUUUAUAUUGAUGGAUAUAUUUAUAAAUUUAGUCAAAUUUUUAUAUAAGAUUAUCUCUAACCAAUUAUCGUCAUCUUUUCAACACUAUUCUUCAAAAUAAUUUUUUCACCAAUCAAAUAUAAUAUAAUAUUUUUUCUAUUAUUUUUUUAAAUAAAUAAUUUUUAAAAAUUAUAAAAUUUUAAUUCGUAAUACUAUAUAUCCCGAUCAACUGGAUCUAAAUUAUUGCCCA